AUUGAACGCUGGCGGCAGGCCUAACACAUGCAAGUCGAGCGGAUGAAGGGAGCUUGCUCCUGGAUUCAGCGGCGGACGGGUGAGUAAUGCCUAGGAAUCUGCCUGGUAGUGGGGGAUAACGUCCGGAAACGGGCGCUAAUACCGCAUACGUCCUGAGGGAGAAAGUGAGGGAUCUUCGGACAUCACGCUAUCAGAUGAGCCUAGGUCGGAUUAGCUAGUUGGUGGGGUAAAGGCCUACCAAGGCGACGAUCCGUAACUGGUCUGAGAGGAUGAUCAGUCACACUGGAACUGAGACACGGUCCAGACUCCUACGGGAGGCAGCAGUGGGGAAUAUUGGACAAUGGGCGAAAGCCUGAUCCAGCCAUGCCGCGUGUGUGAAGAAGGUCUUCGGAUUGUAAAGCACUUUUAGUUGGGAGGAAGGGCAGUAAGUUAAUACCUUGCUGUUUUGACGUUACCAACAGAAUAAGCACCGGCUAACUUCGUG
rnacentral:rRNA from 1 species